GACGAAGGGGGCUAGCGUUGUUCGGAAUCAUUGGGCGUAAAGCGCGUGUAGGCGGCUUGGCAAGUCGGUUGUGAAAGCCCGGGGCCCAACCCCGGAACUGCAUCUGAAACUGCCUGGCUAGAGUCCCGGAGAGGAAGGCAGAAUUCCCGGUGUAGGGGUGAAAUCCGUAGAUAUCGGGAGGAACACCCGUAGCGAAGGCGGCACUCUGGGCCGUGACUGACGCUGAGGAGCGAAAGCGUGGGGAGCAAACAGG
rnacentral:rRNA from 1 species